UACGUAGGGUGCAAGCGUUGUCCGGAAUUAUUGGGCGUAAAGAGCGUGUAGGCGGCCAGGUAGGUCGGUUGUGAAAACUGGAGGCUCAACCUUCGGACGUCGACCGAAACCAUCUGGCUAGAGUCCGGGAGAGGAGAGUGGAAUUCCUGGUGUAGCGGUGAAAUGCGCAGAUAUCAGGAAGAACACCCGUGGCGAAAGCGGCUCUCUGGAACGGUACUGACGCUGAGACGCGAAAGCGUGGGGAGCGAACAGG
rnacentral:rRNA from 1 species